rnacentral:rRNA from 1 species
AUGCCGCGUGCAGGAAGACGGCCCUCUGGGUUGUAAACUGCUUUUAUCCGGGAAUAAACCCCCUUACGUGUAAGGGGCUGAAUGUACCGGAAGAAUAAGGAUCGGCUAACUCCGUGCCAGCAGCCGCGGUAAUACGGAGGAUCCAAGCGUUAUCCGGAUUUAUUGGGUUUAAAGGGUGCGUAGGCGGCCUGUUAAGUCAGGGGUGAAAGACGGUGGCUCAACCAUCGCAGUGCCUUUGAUACUGACGGGCUUGAAUACACUUGAAGUAGGCGGAAUGUGACAAGUAGCGGUGAA